AUUAUACAUCCGUUAAAAUCAUAACCUAAACCGUUAAAACUCCCUCUAAAUAAAAAUAUUUUAGAGGAUGUCAAAACGUACCCGCUAAAUUUUUAUCAGUCCGUUAAAUGUGGUUUGAUUAUUUUUGUUGGGUUAUGUUUGUAUGAAUAGUACUUUGUUAUUCUUGUAUUAUACUGGAGAUAAAUAUUUAAAAAUGGAAAAUGGCUUUUUAUAAUGUAUUUGGUGAAGAAGUACUUAAUAAAUAAUAAUAAUGAAAGAGCUGAUUUCAGAUUACAACAUAAACACAAAGUAAAUAAUUGACCUGAAAGUAAAUAACUACAAUUACCAUUUCAAAGGAAGUAGGUAAUACCUACCUAAGUACCUAGAAAUGUUAU
rnacentral:lncRNA from 1 species